CAGAGUAGAUUUUCGGGCGUAAAGUGCCGGCAAAACGGGGAGUUGUUUGUCGGACGAAAGCAGGAGGCAGAAUAAAACUGCAUUCCGCUGCGGUCCGAAUUUCGCAUCCCGCUG
rnacentral:ncRNA from 1 species